GUGUCGGCUAUACUCUGAGGAAGAUGAUUUAUGGCCUGAAUUUUAAUCUUGGCGUCUGCGUGUGAUUGGCAAGCCCAGGACCGUUCGGGAAACAAACCACUGACUGCAAUUGGCCCCCGACCGCGAUUUCACACUAGCUAGCCAAUUAAUGAAAAACUCAGCGCUGCCGGGGUGGGAGCAGGAAGAAGGUUGGUGAUGACGUCACCGCGGACAUGGAAUUCACAAUCGCUGGACACCUGUAUUCAACGCAUCCUCUCUGCUUUGUUUCCUCCGUUCGACGCCACUGCUCCCACUGUCCUCAGUCAGAUCUUCAGGGUCAUCGACACAAUAUACAAGGGAGAUGGGCUUUGCUGUUUACUGGAUUUCCUAAUUCCAGCAAAACGUAUCCUGGAGACUGUACAACAAGAGGCUUGUGCGAGAUAUUCAAGCCUCCUGUUCCGCCACGAAGGCUGGCCUUUGUGUCUCCACGAGAAGAUAGUGAUACAAUUGUCAUCAUUCAACAUCUUUCUUCUGCGACCUGGUGAUUUCUAUCUGCAAAUUCUACCUGUUGGAAGGCAGUCUACAAGAAUUGUACUGAAAUGCCUGGGCAAAGACCUCUGCAGUGUGGAAGAAAAGCUUGUACCAGAAGUCUCCUACACCAAUAUUUUUACAGCAGAAUGGUUGGGAAUGAUAAACCGUGAUCGUUCUGGCACACCAUUGCACACUUGCUUGUUAGCCACAGAGAAUGGGGUUGUGAAAGUGCUUUGGACUAAAAUAGUAAACCCCGAAUUUGUAACUAAAGUCAAAGUAGCACCAGCAUCUGGACUCAAAACUUGUUCCACUCAGGAAACGCAAAAUGACUAUGGUUCUGGUAGGAUGACAUUACAGACUGGUAUGGAGACUAAUUGUUUAUUUAAGGCUUCCGAGCCAGACUCUGAUGCUAAAGAUGAUAAAAAUAUGUCACCUAAAUUGACUCGGAUAGAAGGCGCAAAAUGUCUGAGCCACCAGCCUGUGAUAUUGGGAAUGGUCUCCCCAAAUUUAUGUGAACUCUCCAAUGAAAAUGUCGAAGGGGAUUACGUAGAUUUAAUGAUGUUUUCUAAAGAAAAAUGUUCUGAUAAGAGGACUGCACGUCCUCCAUCUAAGUAUAGAGAAUCUUCAGUUGUUCCAAUGAAUGGCACAUGGGCAUGUGGAGGGUCAAUAAGAUUUGCUGCAGAACCUUGCACACCAUGUUUAAAUAGAAGGUCAAACAGAGAUUUAGAACACAAAGAGAUGAAAUGUCGCUAUCGUGAAUCUUACAUAGAAGCUCUGCAAAACCCUUUGAACUUUGGAUUCAGUUUUCAGGAGACAGAGCCUUCUGAAAAGAACAAGGAAGAAGUCUUGACUAACUACAAGCUUAACAGUGGUUCAAAAAAUCCAGCCUGCUGCCAGCAGAACCUGGAAUCUAAGAAAUCCAGUAGGCCUAAAACUCCAUCACCAUCUAAUUCAACAAAUGAGGACAGAUUAUUGGGACAUCCCAUUCCACAUCGUGCCUCAUUCAAGGAACCAUAUCGAUCUACAGUCAAACAUGAUCCUCAUAUAUCGUCACCAUCUUCAGACAUUACCAAUAGACAUUCACUUCCUGAUGUUCAAAGGUCAUGUUUGCCAACUGGUGACACUGUGUUCUCAGAAAUUGUGACCAGCAGGAAAGCUGUGCAAGUUACAAAAAAGUGUUCAGUUGGUUAUAUAUCUCCAAGAAUCCGCAGACAUAAAUCCCAGGGAAAAGAUUUCAGUACAGAGGUCAAGAUGCAAUCAGAUGCUCCCCCCUCAUUGAGUCAAAGAGCUGAUAUAAUCUUACCAUCUCCUGGUUCACAUUUACCAAUCAGUGACCUCUCCAUAUCAGAACAUCACCAGAAGAGGUUUGCUGCACGGUUGCUAGAUCUCAACAGUGAUCUGCUACAUUCAGGAGCCGCUUGUUUACCAGGAAGCAGGGAUAAGGCAGGGAGAGCUGUGUUACAAGUCUGCAGUGAUAACAAGUUUUUGCAGAGUCAAACCUGCACCAGUGAUGACCUUGCCAGACUUCUCCUGUACUUGUACAACAUCCCGAGGAAGGAAGUUCGGGAUCUGGGAUUAACAAUCAUUGUAGAUGCCAGGAGACGGCCACCUCAUGUUGCAUUAUUUAAAGCUUUUGGAUCUCUUCAGGAAUUUGCUCCCCACUCUAUUCAUUGUGUCCUGAUAUUGACAGAAAAGGAGACAACUCUCAAACUGGAGAAAUAUCCAGGAGUACCUAUUGAAGUUUUGACUUCCUUGAAAGCCCUGCAUAAGUUCAUUGACAGCAACCAGCUAACUGAGCAUCAGGAGGGGACAUUUCCUUACAAUCACUCUGAGUGGAUACAAUUCCGUGCGAAACUCGAGUUGUUUGUCACAAACUGCAGAGAAGCUUCCACUUUGUUGCUGGACACCAUUAGAACAUUUGAGUCUAACAAACCUGGUAUCAGUGCACAGGAAGUUAUUGAUUGCAUCAGUAAGCACAAGACAAUGAUGAAGCAUGUUCUGCAAGAUGCCCGAUUGGUUACUUUACAGUUGGAAGGUGGAGCAAUUCUUGCCAGGCUCAAGAAAGAGGAAUCGAGAUUCAGUUUCUCUGAGGAUUACAGGGACACCAUUGAUUCAAUAACGCCUCUCUACAAUAUAGUGGAGGAGAAUGUCCAUACUCUAGUAAUGAGGUCCAACCAGUGUCUGCAGCACCUAGAGUUCUUGCUGGAUUUGAGGAGACUGGAGGACAAAUUCAAACAGCAAAACAAUUGGCUUCUUUGUGAAGGUGAAUCAUAUUUGCAGGAUUUAGUUACAAAUGGAGAGUCACUCAAUACCAUGCAACAAACACAGCAUAAUUUCUCUGGAUUCUUUAUGUUGGCCACACAGGAAUAUAAAAAGGGCUUGGAGCUGUUGAAAGAAGCAGACCUACUGGAUGGUUUUUCAUAUCCUGAGUUUUCAGUGUUCAAAGAUAUGGUGGAAAAUUUCAAACUACGACUGAACAACUUUCACAUUAGAGCUAAGAGGCGUCAAGUAGAAUUGGAGGCUCUAGUUAACUUAUACACCUACUGUGAUAAGGCCACAAAGUUUGCAGAGGAAUGUAAAUAUUACUUGAACCAGUCGGGAAUGUGCAAUGAAGCAAUGUUGGAACAUCUUGAGAGUUAUCAUCAGAAGUUUACAGAGUUCUCUGUUGAAAAAUUUCAGCAAAUGAAGAGCCAGGUUCAUAGCCUAAACAGUACUAAAGGGAUGAAGAUGUGGAAUGUCACCUGGUUGAAGUGUCAGGAGGUCAGGCAACUCCUUGAGGAAAAACUGGAAUUUUGUAGGAAGACCCUAAAAGCCGAUAGAACUCCUUCGUUGGACAUUAAUGGAGAGUCAAAGGGUACUGGUCAGAAGUGUAAUAAGGAUAUAAUCACAAGUUGCUCUCAUGUGUCUGGGAGCUCAAGGCCAGAAAACUAUGCAAUCUGGCAGAGAAAGGAAAAUUGUAAGCCUUUGUCUGCCAGGAACAUUCAGAGCCAUAAAGAAAGUACAACAAAUAAACCAAACAGAGAACCAGCGAACUCUUCAAUGUUUAACUGGCCCCUGUGGCUGCACUCAAGUGAAGUUUCCAGUGAUGAGAACAGAUCACAGAUCUGUUCUCUUCCUUCUUAUUCAGAUCCUGUCUUCUCUCCUCCUAUUCGGCACAAAGGUUACCCUUCAAAGAAGAUCAUGCAGGCAGCACAGGGUUUCCAAUUGUCACGGCAUGCAAGCUUCUACUCCGAAGACAAAGGUCCAAAGAAUACGACAACUAAUAGAAAUAGCAGCGGUGCUACUCCAGUUAUGAGUCCUGUCCUAAGUAGAAUUCCAGGACCAAGUUUGAAACAUGGAACAAUACAGGAAUUGAAAAAGGAAAUAAAAACAACUUCCUAUAAUAAGCUGCAGCAUAUUAUGGAAGAGAUAUUAAUCACUGAGAGAGAGUAUGUCCGCUCCCUUGGUUAUAUUGUUGAACACUACUUCCCUGAGAUGGAGCGCCUGGAUCUCCCCCAGGAUCUGCGGGGACAGCGAGGGGCUAUCUUCGGAAACCUGGAGAAGCUGUAUGAUUUCCACAGCCAUUACUUCCUGAAGGAGUUGGAGAGCUGUGCAAGGGAGCCCAUCAGAGUAGGACGCUGCUUCAUCAGACAUGAGGACCAGUUUGGACUUUAUGCGUUGUACAGCAAGAACAAACCGCGAUCAGAUUUCCUACUCAGCAGCCAUGGGAUCAGCUUCUUCAGAGCCAAACAACUGGAAUUAGGCGACAAGCUGGACCUGGCAUCCUACCUAUUGAAACCUAUUCAGAGAAUCAGCAAAUACAACUUACUCCUGAGAGAUAUGUUCAAAGAGUGCAGCACAGCCCAGGAGAAGGAGUGCAAGGAGCUCCAGGCAGCCCAUGAGAUUGUAUGUUUCCAGCUCCGCCAUGGAAAUGAUUUACUUGCUAUGGAUGAUAUACAGGAGUGCGAUGUGAACCUAAAGGAGCAGGGCCAGUUAUUACGUCAAGAUGAAUUUGUUGUAUGGUGUGGACGAAAGAAGUGGUACAGACACAUCUUCCUCUUUGAUGAUCUCAUACUCUUCAGCAAGACCAGAAAGACAGAAGGAAGCAAUGACAUCUACAUUUACAAACAAUCCUUUAAGACUUCUGAAAUUGGACUGACACAUAACUCUGGUGAAAGUGGGCUGUGUUUUGAAAUUUGGUUCAGAAGACAGAAGUCCCGGGAUACUUAUGUCUUUCAUGCUCCAACUCCAGAGAUAAAACAAGCAUGGAUAGAUGACUUGGACAAGAUAUUAUGGAACCAAGCUGUGAGGAACAGGGAGGACACCAAGAGACCAAAUUCCAUAGGCUCCAAUGGCAGUGCCUCCUCCUCGGGAAGCCAGACUUCCUCAUCAUCUUCUGGCAUUGGUUCCCUCAAUGUGCCCAUUUGCUCCUCUUCACCAUCGACUUCAAGAAGCAAUGCUGGCAUCAACAACUGUCUUUAUAGUACACAAACACGCAUUGAGGAAGAUGACCUGGAGAAUGACCCUAGUGGAAGACCUUUUAUGACUGAGAGUUCGGAAACAUCCUCCCAGUGUAACUCCACAGAAAGUGUUAGCGGUUUCAGCAGCUCUGAACAAAGCAGCCUUUCCCUAACUGGAGGAGAGACAGAGGAAGUGACUACUCUCUGCUCAGCAUCAUACAAGCCCAGUCCAGAUCCAUGCUCACUCUGUGCACCUUCAUUGCUGCCAAAGGAAGAACUACCAUUUGGAAAUUUGAUCAAAAAAGAUAAAUCAUCAGAAGUGCAUAUGAACCGUUCAACAGAUGUCUGAUGCUCUGAAGAACCAAUUUGAUGGUAAACUAUUACGGGCAAUUUUUACCCAACUGAUCAACUGUACUGGCCCCCUCGCACAUACUGCUGAAGAAACACCAUCAUUGGUCCUGGAAGGCUCCACAGGAGGAAGCCUUCAACAGAGUAAAACAACUGCUGCACUCCUCAACCUUGUUAGUGCACUUCAACCCAUCUAAAGAAUUGAUAUUGACCUGCGACGUCUCUCCAUAUGGCAUUGGUGCAGUGUUGUCCUAUGAAAUGGACAACGGCUCUGAGAGGCCAAUAGGUUACAUAUCAAGAUCCCGCUCAGUGGCCAAGAAAGGUUAUUUGCAGAUCAGAAGGAAGGACAGUCAAUAGUAUUUGGAAUUAUAAAAUUCAACCUGUAAGUACAUGGCAGGCACUUUACUAUCAUCUCUGAUCAUAAACCGCUUUUGGGCCUUUUCAAAGAAGACAAGGCUAUCCCACUGAUAGCCUUGGCAAGAAUUCAGUGAUGGGCAUCAAUUCUGUCCACCUAUGAAUACACUUUCAAGCACCGACCUGGGAUAUACAUAGCAAACAUGGACGCUCUUAGCCACCUAUCCUUGCAAGAAAGCAUCUCAUGUACCCCAAGAAAUCAUUCCUGCAUUGAAUUUUUUUAGACACAUCGCCCAUCUGCGCCAAACGGGUCAGGAACUCGACCAAUUGAGAUCCACUCCUGUCCAAAGUGAGAGACUAGAUGUUUACAGGAUGGUUAAAUGAGUCAGUCUCUGAGGAAAUGAAACCAUUUUUUUACCUACAAAUACGAAUUAAGUUGUCAGGAUGGCAUCAUAGCCUGGGGAGCAAGAGUAGCCACUCCUUUACCAGGCAGGAACUGCUCCUAAUCGAAUACACAGCACUCAUCCUGGCAUCUCUAAAUUGACAGUGCUCACCAGGAGUUACUUGUGGUGGCCUGGUAUAAAUGCAGAUAUUGAGAAGUUAGUCAAGCACUGUCAACAGUGCCAACUGCAUCAAAAGUUGCCAGCCGCAGCCCAAAUAUACCCUUGGGAACGGCUUGGCCGGCCAUGGGUGUGGACCCAUAUAGACUACAUGGGUCCAUUCCUAGGCACAAUGUUUUUGAUCAUAAUUGAUGCACACUCAAAAUGGAUGGAGAUUUUUGAGGUGAAAUCACCUAUGUCACAUGCUGACAUCGAAAGGUUACGCCAAUGCUUUCCGAUUCACGGAUUGCCCGAAGUUAUUGUAUCAGACAAUGGAGCCAUAUUUACAAGUGCUGAAUUUCAGAACUUCACCAGUCUAAACAGUAUUAAACACAUCCAAACUGCACCUUACCACUCAACAUCAAACGGACUAGCUGAGAGAGCCAUCCAAACUUUCAAAUCAGGACUAAAAAAUUGUCGGGAGGAACCUUAGAAACCAAAAUCUCAUGCUUCCAUCUUAGCUACCACACAACUCUACAUGCAACAACUGGAGUUCCACCAGCAGAACUGCUUAGGCAUCGUCUCAGAAUGAGACUGACCCUCGUAGUUCCAGAUUUGUCAGGGAGGGUAGAGAAGAACCAAGGUAAUCAGAAAGCAAGCCACAAUUCGCAUGCAGAACCCAGAAAUUUAUAGUAGAUGAAGCCAUAUAUGUAAUAAAUUUCAGUAGCAGUCCAAGUUGGACCCAGGAAUUAUUGUCUGUGAGACCGGACCCCUUUCAUACCAAGUGGAUUUGGAAGGCUGGAUUGUGCGUAAACACUUGGAUCACCUGAGGAGCAGGGAGACAGUUCCACAGUCAGUUUCCAUCAAAGAAUGUUAUCGAACCCAUAAGCACCGCAGUACCUGAUCGACCUGUUAUAGACAUAACUGAUGUCUCCAUUGAAUCAAAUAGCGAUGAACUGCCUGUGCCAAAAGAGGUACCUGUCGCAGUUCCUGUUAGUUCAAUCCUGUAGGAGAGCCUCAGGCUACAGAAUUAUGGCACUCUGCCUGGAACAGAAAAUCCUCUCAACAACUUGAUUUGUAAUUACUGGACCUAUCUAUAUAACUGUAUAAUUUGAAUUCAUGACAAAGUGCAGGCCUAAGAAUCAAUGAAUCACUGGUGAAACAGGCUGGUUGUUGGUAUUCCAACUGCUGCUGAGCUCUGAAAUGUAAUUCCAGUUCAAGUUGCAACAAAUAAUAGAUUUACAGGAGGUUGCUGUGCCAUCUGGGCUUUGUCCUGACAGAUUGUUGUUUUUGCUUGCUGGAAAACAGAUGCUGCUGUAUAGCAGAAUUCUAAAAUAAAAGCCUCUUUACAAAGGUACAUAGAUACAGGUGAUUCUCAGGUGGUUGCGACAUAAGCCUUGGCCAAGAAACUUCCCAAGGUCAUCGUAUCGAAGAGGGAAUAAUUCUCCCUGGACAAACGCUAGGAAUUUUCAGCGCCCUCUUCACAGUACGUGAACCUGUAACAUAGCAUUUCGUCAUGUUUUCCAUCCUCAAUGUCGGCUCCAUGAGGUUCAGAAUCACAAGUCCCAACAAAAGAAGGAAGAUCCAUCAAUUAAAGGAGGGACAUUCAUCCAGGGAAAUUUGAUUUUGGAGAAAAUGGCCCUAAGGACAGGUUUAAAGAGGGAGGGCAUAGUAACAUUUUCAUUUAACUAUUAAAUCAUAUAUAAAUAUAUUUUAAUAUCCAUUAAAAUGAUCAAUUAAUAUUACUUUGUAUAUUGUACUAUUGUCUUCUAUUGCAUACCUGUUCGCUUUAAUCACAACAUUGUUGUAAAAUAUAGACAAGUGUAAGUUAAGUUGUCAGUACUUAUGUUUCCUAUUUUUACAUGUUUACCAUAUUAAAAAGAACCAUGGAUUUUCUUGA